GAUGAACGCUAGCGGCAGGCCUAACACAUGCAAGUCGAGGGGCAGCACAGAAACAGCAAUGUUUUGGUGGCGACCGGCGGACGGGUGCGUAACGCGUAUGCAACCUGCCUUUAACAGGGGGAUAACGGAGAGAAAUUUCCACUAAUACCCCAUAACAUCGAUCAAGGCAUCUUGAUUGGUUGAAAACUCCGGAGGUUAAAGAUGGCAUGCGUUGUAUUAGGUGGUUGGUGAGGUAAUGGCUCACCAAGCCUACGAUACAUAGGGGGACUGAGAGGUUAGCCCCCCACACGGGUACUGAGACACGGACCAGACUCCUACGGGAGGCAGCAGUGAGGAAUAUUGGUCAAUGGGGGCAACCCUGAACCAGCCAUGCCGCGUGCAGGAAGACGGCUCUAUGAGUUGUAAACUGCUUUUAAACAGGGAUAAAGCACAGUAUGUAUACUGUGUUGAAGGUACUGUAAGAAUAAGGAUCGGCUAACUCCGUGCCAGCCGCCGCUGUAA
rnacentral:rRNA from 1 species